rnacentral:rRNA from 1 species
GACGAACGCUGGCGGCGUGCCUAACACAUGCAAGUCGAACGAAGAAUGUUUUUCGGAAUAUUCUUAGUGGCGGACGGGUGAGUAACGCGUGAACAAUCUGCCCCGUACAAAGGGAUAGCCUCGGGAAACCGGGAUUAAAACCAUAUAACACUUAACUGCCGCAUGGUAGUGAAGUCAAAUCGAUUAAGAGGUAUGGGAUGAGUUCGCGUCUGAUUAGCUAGUUGGUGAGGUAAGGGCUCACCAAGGCGACGAUACAGUAGCCGGCCUGAGAGGGUGAACGGCCACACUGGAACUGAGACACGGUCCAGACUCCUACGGGAGGCAGCAGUGGGGGAAUAUUGCACAAUGGAGGGAACUCUGAUGCAGCGACGCCGCGUGAGUGAAGAAGGUCUUCGGAUCGUAAAACUCUGUCCUUGGUGAAGAAAAGGACGGUAGCCAAGGAGGAAGCCCCGGGCUAACUACGUG